UACGUAGGGAGCAAGCGUUGUCCGGAAUCAUUGGGCGUAAAGCGCGUGUAGGCGGCUCGAUAAGUCUGCUGUGAAAGUCCAGGCUCAACCCUGGGAUGCCGGUGGAUACUGUCGAGCUCGAGUCCGGAAGAGGCGAGUGGAAUUCCUGGUGUAGCGGUGAAAUGCGCAGAUAUCAGGAGGAACACCAAUGGCGAAGGCAGCUCGCUGGGACGGUACUGACGCUGAGACGCGAAAGCGUGGGGAGCAAACAGG
rnacentral:rRNA from 1 species